rnacentral:rRNA from 1 species
UAAGCGUACACGGUGGAUGCCCUGGCAGUCAGAGGCGAUGAAGGACGUGCUAAUCUGCGAUAAGCGUCGGUAAGGUGAUAUGAACCGUUAUAACCGGCGAUUUCCGAAUGGGGAAACCCAGUGUGAUUCGUCACACUAUCAUUAACUGAAUCCAUAGGUUAAUGAGGCGAACCGGGGGAACUGAAACAUCUAAGUACCCCGAGGAAAAGAAAUCAACCGAGAUUCCCCCAGUAGCGGCGAGCGAACGGGGAGGAG